rnacentral:rRNA from 1 species
CCUACGGGAGGCAGCAGUAGGGAAUCUUUCACAAUGGGCGAAAGCCUGAUGGAGCAACGCCGCGUGCAGGAUGAAGGCCCUCGGGUUGUAAACUGCUUUUAUAAGCGAGAAAUAUGAUGGUAACUUAUGAAUAAGGAUCGGCUAACUACGUGCCAGCAGCCGCGGUUAUACGUAGGAUCCGAGCAUUAUCCGGAGUGACUGGGUGUAAAGAGUUGCGUAGGUGGGAUAAUAAGUAGCUAGUGAAAUCUGGUGGCUCAACAAUUCAGACUAUUAGCGAAACUGUUAAGCUCGAGAGCGUUAGAGGUAACUGGAAUUUCUAGUGUAGGAGUGAAAUCCGUAGAUAUUAGAAGGAACACCGAUAGCGUAGGCAGGUUACUGGGACGGUUCUGACGCUAAGGCACGAAAGCGUAGGGAGCAAACGGGAUUAGAUACCCGUGUAGUC